GUAAAGUACUUUCAGCAGUGAGGAAGGUGGGUAUGUUAAUAGCAUAUUCAUUUGACGUUUAGCUGCAGAAGAAGCACCGGCUAACUCCGUGCCAGCAGCCGCGGUAAUACGGAGGGUGCGAGCGUUAAUCGGAAUUACUGGGCGUUAAAGCGCAUGCAGGUGGUUUGUUAAGUCAGAUGUGAAAAGCCCGGGGCUCAACCUCGGAAUUGCAUUUGAAACUGGCAAACUAGAGUACUGUAGGAGGGGGUAGAAUUUCAGGUGUAGCGGUGAAAUGCGUAGAGAUCUGAAGGAAUACCGGUGGCGAAGGCGGCCCCCUGGACAGAUACUGACACUCAGAUGCGAAAGCGUGGGGAGCAAACAGGAUUAGAUACCCUGGUAG
rnacentral:rRNA from 1 species